rfam:Medicago truncatula strain A17 chromosome 3, whole genome shotgun sequence.
UUGCAAUGUAGCAUGCCCGUUGUGAAAUUACUCUGAUGUAUUUAUGCUAUUUUACUGCUUUUGGGUAACGGGGUGUUACAACCGUA